GAUGAACGCUGGCGGCGUGCUUAACACAUGCAAGUCGAACGGAAAGGCUCCUGCUUGCAGGGGUACUCGAGUGGCGAACGGGUGAGUAACACGUGGGUGAUCUGCCCUGCACUUCGGGAUAAGCCUGGGAAACUGGGUCUAAUACCGGAUAGGACGAUGGUUUGGAUGCCAUUGUGGAAAGUUUUUUCGGUGUGGGAUGAGCUCGCGGCCUAUCAGCUUGUUGGUGGGGUAAUGGCCUACCAAGGCGUCGACGGGUAGCCGGCCUGAGAGGGUGUACGGCCACAUUGGGACUGAGAUACGGCCCAGACUCCUACGGGAGGCAGCAGUGGGGAAUAUUGCACAGUGGGCGCAAGCCUGAUGCAGCGACGCCGCGUGGGGGAUGACGGCCUUCGGGUUGUAAACUCCUUUCGCUAGGGACGAAGCGCAAGUGACGGUACCUGGGGAAGAAGCACCGGCUAACUACGUG
rnacentral:rRNA from 1 species